GACGAACGCUGGCGGCGUGCCUAAUACAUGCAAGUCGAACGCUGAAGGAGGAGCUUGCUUCUCUGGAUGAGUUGCGAACGGGUGGGUAACGCGUAGGUAACCUGCCUGGUAGCGGGGGAUAACUAUUGGAAACGAUAGCUUAUACCGCAUAAGAGUAGAUGUUGCAUUACAUUUGCUUAAAAGGUGCAAUUGCAUCACUACCAGAUGGACCUGCGUGGUAUUAGCUAGUUGGUGGGGUAACGGCUCCCCAAGGCGACGAUUCAUAGCCGACCUGAUAGGGGGAGCGGACACACUGAGAGUGAGAGAGAGCCCAGACUCCUUCGGGAGGGAGCAGUAGGGAAGCUUCGGUAAUGGACGGAAGUCUGACUGAGGAACGCCGCGUGAGUGAAGAAGGUUUUCGGAUCGGAAAGCACUGUUGUAAGAGAAGAAAGAGUGUGAGAGUGGAAAGUUCACACUGUGACGGUAGCUUACCAGAAAGGGACGGCUAACUACGUG
rnacentral:rRNA from 1 species